UACGAAGGGGGCGAGCGUUGUUCGGAAUUACUGGGCGUAAAGGGCGCGUAGGCGGCCGAUCAAGUCAGAUGUGAAAGUCCUGGGCUUAACCUGGGGACUGCAUUUGAUACUGAUUGGCUUGAAUUCGGGAGAGGAUAGCGGAAUUCCCAGUGUAGAGGUGAAAUUCGUAGAUAUUGGGAAGAACACCGGUGGCGAAGGCGGCUAUCUGGACCGACAUUGACGCUGAGGCGGCGAAAAGCGUGGGGAGCAAACAGG
rnacentral:rRNA from 1 species